UCUAUUUACAAAACUUUAUUUACAAUGAGCAAGCCUUCACUUUUGGUUCAGAGGAAGAUAUUCCCACAACAUGCUGUAGCACUAUAUGACUAUUGGAAGGUUAAGUAAUUAAAUUUUAGUUCAGUUUAGAAUCACAUUCACAAGAGGAUGAUCAGAUAGUAAACGUCCAGAAAGAAAUUCAGAAAUAGCCACAAAAAAGGCAUUUCCCGAUGAACUAAAAAAAGCUAGAUUAAAUUUCAGGCUCCUUCUUUUGCUUACCUAGCAGUAUUUCAUUUUAAAUUUAUCACCCAAUAGCUUAAGAGUCAGUAAUGUGACUUCAAAAAAAAAAAAAAAAAGGAUCAAACAAUCUGUUUGAUUACUGAAAUACACAAAACAUUAUUAGUUUAUCUCACACACCUCUGUUACUCACAAAUUUAAUUACAUAAAAUUUUCCUUAACAUUAUUUAUUUUCUUACAUCUCCAAUUACUUACCCCUGGGAGACUUCUAUGCAAUUAAUUAUUCUUGGUUUCUUAACUAAAAGCAACAAAUCUAAUUGAAUUGUAAUGCUUGAAAGUUUCUAAAAACUCCUGGAAUACUGAUAUUUACAAUACAUUUUUCAUAUAGAUCAUCACUCACAAUCCUCAGUACUUUUUCUUCUGCUCUUCCACCCACCAAAUUUGUUAAAAUAUCUUUAUCUGGUAAAUAACAUUAAAUAAAGUGUUUGAGAAGGUGUGAAUGAAACAAAUGAAAAUGAAGCUUAGUAGUAGAUCAAGAAGCUAGAAAUAAUUAUGCAUUGUCAAAGCAAGGGAUAAACCAAACUCCCUGGAUUUUUGGGUGGUUCUGUGUGGAGCGAGGAGUUGGACUCAAUCCUUACAGGUCCUUUCCAACUCGGGAUGUUCUAUGAUUUGUUCCCUUUCUGAAAUCCUCACAGAAUCAGAAAGAAAGAAAAGAGAAGACAGGAAAGAGAGGAUAUGAAAACAAUAAGGUGGGAGAUGCAAUGACUACACAGUGCAGGAAGAAGACAGAUGGACAACAAUUAACAAGAAACAAGUAGGCCACUAUAGAGGUAAACAAAAAUCCAUCAAUCAUCCGAAGCAUCUGUGUUUAAGAUGGGAAACUAAGACAAACUUAACCAUUAGUGAUAGAAUGAAGAACAAUUCUACACUGCUUUUGCACUACUUCUAUUAAUACUAAAGCAGCUUGAAGAAGUCCAGAAGUCCACCUACACAUUAUGAAGUGAGUACGGUACUUACUUCCUUCAGAUUACUUAUUUCAGUCUCUUGUCUUUUAUUCACUGAUGUUAGUUUCUUAUUGAGCUGUAUUGCUUCCUGUACUUUAAACAAAAGAUGAAAUGUUUAUAUAUACACUUUCACAUUUAAAGUAUUAUUUGAUUUAUACCUAUUAUGUAUAUGCACAUAACGCCUAAAAUUGUUAAACAACUUUUUGGAAAGCAGACUAGGAUGCAAAAUAGGACUCAAGUACUCUGUGUAUAUAUUAUGAUCAUACAUGAAAGGAUUACAGCAGAUAGUAUUAGCUUUUCUACACCUCAAAGAAUUAUUUUAAUUGCAAUUUGUAAUUGUAAUUUCAUUUUUACUGUCAUUUGGUGCCACUUUAUUAGAAUUACUUCUCCAUUAACAAAACAUUCACAAAAGAAAAUACUUCAAAAAAAUAAUAAAUGUCUUCUGGUACAACUUAGGCAAAAAUUGGUAAAAUUUUCAACAAGGGUCAUGUAUUCACACUCUAUCUUUAAAAUGCUAAUAAUGGGACACUGGUAAGGCAAUAAAGUAAAUUUAUUACACAUUGCAGCAUUUUGCAUAUCAACACCAUAACAUCAGUUUUCACUUUCUUAUAUUCCUACAUGCUGUUUUAAUACAGCAAAUAAAGAACAAACAGUUUAUAAAUGUAAACAAUUUGCAUAAUAAAUGACACACACUCUUUGUGCAUGACUUUUUCUCUGACUGCAGUGUCUUGCUCAGAAUUUACAAGUUGCCUACAUGCCUACUGCAGGUCUUACAUACUGCAAUGCAAAUUGAAUUCCCACUGCAGUAAAAGACACACUACAGUUAAACUGGUGAAUAGAUUGGAUUCUUCAACAGAGGGAUCAUUUUGCAAUUACGGAUAAAUAUAAGAAGAAAUAUGGCAAAAUGUUUACCUAUAGUUAAAAGAAAAAAAAAUACUACAAGUGUUAUUUUUCCAAUAAAUUGCAAAAAGACUAUUCUGUAUCUGGCAUAUAAUAGAAAAGCUUUGCCCAAUGUAAAUAAAAUGAAAACACAGCAACAUUUUCUUUCUCUUUUUUUUUUUUGAAAGUGGUUUAAUAUUUAAUAGUCAAAACAAAUAAAAAAGCAAUAAAAAUGUAACUUGAAUUAUUACAAAACCCCAAAUGCCCUUAAAACAUGUUACUUAUUUAUUCAGACUCAAUCUGAAAAACUAAGUGCUUUUAUGCAGUUUUGGGUUUGUUUGUUUUUGGGUUUUUUUGUACGAUUGUUUUUCAGUAAUGCAAUUGGUUCUCCCUUUCUUUAAAAAAAAAAUAAAAAAUCCUUAUUUAAUGGAUAAACACUGAAGGUAUGCAAAACAAAACAUGCACACAUUUCUACACAAAUUCCUAUACAGACACUGCAGUGUAUUACUUCAUCAUGCAAAACAAAGACUUCUCUCUCAAAUUAAUAGGUACCAGACUUCAUAUAAAUGUGGUAUUUUUACUACUCAAUAUAUCCGUUUUAUGUCCUAUGGAUGGAAAAUAUAUUUACACUAAAAAGGGCAUGUGGAAAAAUAUUUUUGUUUGUUGGUAGAUUCACAAAUAAUUUUGAAUGUUUUGACAUAAGACUGGGGUUAAAAUAUACAUUUGUAAAGCUUAAAUAGCCACACAGCCAUGAUAACUGUAUGAAAUUAUUCAUCCAUUUUAUUUACUGAAAUAUUUUUAAGUUUCAAUAUUUCUACAUAUUACGUAACAAAAAAUUGUAUUUCAUUAAUGCUUUCUGUCCGUUUCCCAACAUAAACAAUAGUCCCAACAAGA